AGCACUACCAAGGUAGUGGUGAUCUUUGCCAUUCUUGUUUUCCUGCAUGUGUCAUGCACCGCCAGUCAGGUCCGCGACCUCCCGGCGGUGAUGUCGGUAAAUGGCUUCCAGAACGGAGAGGAGGGCGGGCCAGCAAGCUGCGACGGCCAGUACCACAGCGACGACCUCUUGCUCGUGUCGAUGGCUUCAAAGUGGUACGGGCCUGGCCUCCGGUGCGGAAAGAUGAUCAACAUCAAGAGAUUGAUCGGGAUAUCCGUUCAGGCCAUGGCCGUGGACGAUUGCGGGGACGGCUGUGGAGAUGACGAAAUCAGUACAUCGGCCGCUGUGUGGAAGGCCUUGGGGAUUGACACCAGCAUCGGUGAGGUGCCUGUCCUCUGGUCGGAU
rnacentral:rRNA from 1 species